rnacentral:rRNA from 1 species
GACGAACGCUGGCGGCGUGCUUAACACAUGCAAGUCGAACGAAGUGGCGAACGGGUGAGUAACGCGUAAUCAACCUGCCCUUCAGAGGGGGACAACAGUUGGAAACGAAUGCUAAUACCGCAUACUGAAGGAGGGGAUGGAGUCGGAUUAGCUAGUUGGAGGGGUAACGGCCCAACAAGGCGAUGAUAAGUAGCCGGUCUGAGAGGAUGAACGGCCACAUUGGGAAUGAGACACGGCCCAGACUCCUACGGUGGGCAGCAGUGGGGAAUCGUCCGCAAUGGAGGAAAGUCUGACGGAGCAACGCCGCGUGAGUGAUGACGGCCUUCGGGUUGUAAAGCUCUGUUAAUCGGGACGCGGUACCGGAAUAGAAAGCCACGGCUAACUACGUGCCAGCAGCCGCGGUAAUUC